AAAAGGUACUCAAGGGCACACAACGGAUGCCUAGACGUAUAUUACCGAUGAAGGACGUGGAAGACUGCGAUAAGCUUCGGGUAGCUGUCAACAAGCUAUGAUCCGGAGAUUUCCGAAUGGGGAAAAGGUUAUGUAGUGGGAACCAACUGAACUGAAACAUCUUAGUAGGUUGAGGAAGAGAAAGUAAAUAACGAUUCUCGGAGUAGUGGCGAGCGAAACGGGAUGAGCCCAAACCUUACAAGUUUUCAUCUGUUAGUUUACUAGCAGUUGAAUAAGCUGAUAGGCGAAUACUUAUAAGGGGUUGUGAUAUAACACAAGACCAAGUCAGAGUGCUUAAACUUCGGUUUAAGUCAUCUGAUUUGCGACCUAGCACUAUCAUGCCUAGGAUAAGGUAAAAAAAUAGCGUGGUUAGCAGAAUAGUUUGAAUGACUGACCAAAGGACGUGAAAGUCGUGUACGCGAAAACGACGCUGACCUUAUAUGUGUUUUAUCGAGUAGGGCGGGGCACGAGAAACCCUGUCUGAAUCCGGCUGGACCACCAGCCAAGGCUAAAUAUAAUAUACGAUCGAUAGUGAACUAGU
rnacentral:rRNA from 1 species